AUCUCAUGAUUCAAUCCAGUAAGGAGUAGCCAGCCGGUAGCCCAAGAGUCGUUGAAAAUAAUUUGUCGUGCCUGCAGUGUUUUGAGGAGAAUGGGAAAGGUAGCUACAUUCAGAACACACAAGAAAGCCUGCUAAAGGCCUCUUUUCCCAUCUCUUUUUUGAUGUACAAUCCUCACACGGCGGCUGCCCAAAAUUUCUCCCUCUUCCACUCCAAGCUCCCCAAACCCUUCUCUGAACUCGAUCCAGCCCCAAGUUCUCUUUGGUGUCUCUCUCAUCCUUAGCUGCUGACUUCUGUUAAAUCGGAAGCUCUUCGGUUUUUUUGAAUUUAAAAGGCAGCUAUGCUAACCACUAUACCAUCAACGCCUCGGCUCUUUUUUGGAUUUGGCACAAUAAAGGAACCCAGAAAGAAACUCUCUUUCUUAUAAGGGAGGAGGCUUGGCGGAGAAAAUAGAGAUUGCAAACAUUUCUAAUUUUGUAUUUUUUCUCUUUCGCAUUUGAAGCCAUCCAUCCAUCCAUCCAUCCGUCCAUCCUAUCUAUCCUAUCUAUCCAUCCAUCCAAAUUGGCUGUGAAGCUUCCACUUAAAUGCAAAGCUCUAAAGAGCAGGGUAAGAUCCCUGCCUUGAGAGACAAUAAUUUAAUUGGAGACAAAAAUUAAAAAUGGAAAAAGUAAGAUGUUUGGGAAGUAAAGAAUGUCUGCCCCUGGCACGUAGUAGGUUCUUCAGAAACGUUUGUUGACUCGCGUGGGAACUAGCAUUGACUGAAUAAUCAUCGUUAGUGAGCUCACUAAGCAUUUAUUUGCCAGUCAGGCUCCAUGCAAACAGGUGAUGAUGAAGGUUGACAUUUCCCGGGCUGCAAACUCCUCUCCAGAGGCCAGACUAACGAUUCCUGCCCCGUACAUCCAAUCGUAUUGGGCCUACACGGCUCCUCACCUGGGGCCUGGAACUUUUCCGGGAGCAAGGAGACAAAUGUGCACAGUUAUAGGCGGGGGCGGAUCGACGGAAGGGGCUACCAGGCCUGGGCAAGAGCUCGCGGAGGCGACUCCGCUGCUCCAGAUCUCGCGGGGACCAGCCCCAGGAGAACUGAACCAGCAUCCCGAGGAGCAGCCAUGGGGACCCGGCCCCAGCUCCUGGGCUGUGCCGGCCGGCUGCGCGCGCCGAGAGCGAUCUAAGAAGAAGUAAGGCGUGUGUUCAAUGCGCCUAGUGGCAGCCGGGAAGGAGUGAGGAGGAAGAAUUCCGACGACACCAUUUAACAGGACAAGGAAGAAAUGCUGUAAAUGAUCACCGGGAAAAGACAAGCAUGACAAUUGGACGCAAAGCGCUCAGUGAUAGUUUACUCCGGAGACAACCAGAAGCGUGCCGAAAUAGCUCAGUUGGGAGAGCGUUAGACUGAAGAUCUAAAGGUCCCUGGUUCGAUCCCGGGUUUCGGCAGCUACUUUUAAAUCCUGACCUCAAGAACUCAAAUUUUGUAAGACUCUCCGUCCACGAUACCCUGGCCCAUUCCUUCAAGUCCAAGCAAAAACUGAGACUUGAAGAGUGAACGAGGAAUGAAACAGUCGUUCCCAGCCACCCCCAGGAGCAGGAAUCCUGCGCACAACCGCUUCCGGGCCGUUUCCUGGCGGCGCGCGGAGAAGCUUCCGCGCCUGCGCGCCGCGGGGCCUGGGGCCGGGACCCAGAGCCACCCUGGGCGCCCAGAGACGCGAACGACCCAGGCUUCCGUGGCGAGACUGGCCAGGCGCCCCCUGGGUGGCUGGUGUGACAACCGAGGCUCCAAUGGGAGGAGGUCUGGUCUGUCCACGGGGCCAGCAGAACACCUUCAUCCCAAGUUCAUCGCAUUCCUUCUAAGUAUCCGAAUUUGAAGAAAAACCAAAACUGCUGGGUGGCCAGAUGGCCCCCACCUGGCGUUGCCGGUGAACGGAACCCAGUGCUGGUUAUUUCUGGUUAGAGGCGCAUGGAGGCCCGCCCUGGGGUGGUGCCACCAGGUUACUUGCCCAGCGGUGAAGGAUGGCAGCUUUACAGCUCCCCGACGCAUCAGACUACAGAACGUUAGCCAGAGUCUGCGCCGGUGGUUCCCAAAGUGCGGUCCCCAGGUCUUCGGCGAGGACUAAAUGUUUCCACAAGAAGGUUGCUCAUCCCUCCAUUAUUACAUACUCUUCUGCUGAGCUCCAACCUGGCCUUUUAAUCAUUGGUGCUCAAGUGUGUCUUCCUUCUUGUACUAGAAUACUUCUUAGAAAUGAAAAAUUCAUUACAACAAAAUUUACAUUUACUACGCAGCUGUCUGCUAUGAUUUGUUUACAGAUGAGGAAUCUGAGGCUGAGAGAGAAUAACCACUUGUCCAGGAUCAUAGAACUGAGUCUUCUUUGCAGAUGUAAUUGAGUGAAGAAUCUUGAGAUGAGAUCAUCCUGGAUUAUCUGAGUGGGCUCUACAUCCAAUAAAAGUCCUUAUGAGAAACAGACAUGGAGGAAAAACACAGACAGAUGGGGAGAAGGCCAUGGGGCUGUGGCAGACAUUGGAGCUGCAGUUUCAAGCCAAGGAUUGACAGCAGCUGCCAGAAGCUUGAAGAGGCAAGGAGGAUUCUAGCCUAGAGUCUCCAGGGAGAGUGCAGCCGCCUGGCUGACACACGCCAGUCCAGCCAACACCUUCAUUUCAGACUUCUGGCCUUCAGAACAGUGAGAAAAUAGAUUUCUGUUGUUUUCAGUCAUCCAGUUUGUGGUCAUUUGUUACAGAAACCUCAGGAAACUAUUACACAUGGUCUCUUUUAGCUGAUGCUGUUGCAAUAUUUCCUUUGGCGCUCUGCUGUAUUCUGAUUCAGUGAUUCUCAACUCUGGCUGCGCAUUAGAAUUGCCUAGAUAUUUUCUAACAAAGGCUGGUUGGUAUCUGGAACAUCCUCAGAGAUUCUGAUUCAGUAAGGCUGUGGUACAGGCUGAUAUUGGUGUAGAGCCAGACAUAAGAACUACCAUUUAAUUAGUCAUAGCAACUUAACAUCAAGGGGUGGCACAGAGGUACAGGGGGUGGGAAUACCUGUAUAAUUGUUUUCACCUUAGGAAUUUGCUUUGACACAUAAGAAUAUGUGUCUUUACAUUCAAGUAUAUUCUUAGAAACUAACUGAAGCCGUUUCGCAUCCUUGUGGCACCAAGUCCUCUUUCCACCAUGAAAUAGGUGCAAAGACAGUCCUGCUUCCACUGUGAAAAAAUAAAAGGAUACUCUGACAGGUGGCCGCUGUUGCUGACCUGACCAUUCCCCAGAAGCACCAGGAGGCAUUGCUUUCUAGACUGAAGUUCGGUCAUGCUUCACUUUAGUCUAAUCAAAAAGAUUUGCUUGCAAGUCUUCAUUCCAGAUGGUUCCAGUGCCUUCCAUACAAUCAGAUAAUGACAAUUGUGAGUUUCUGGUGGCAUGCUACUUCACGUAAUUAAAAAAAAUAUUGCUGCAUAGAUGUGCUGAAUAGGAGAAGAGUAAGUUAUUAUUUGGAGGGAAGAGGAUUCCCAAUUGUGGAACAAAGCAAUUCCUUGUACCCUGGUUCUAAAUAAAUGUUUCUUUAUUUUUGAAGUUGCGUGACCCCCUAUUAUGGUCUUUUUUGCACACAUGUCAGAAAGCAGCCAUGAGUGCAUUGUAGUUAGCAAAGUGAGCUUGUCUGUAAAGGGUCUUUGACGAAGAGCUCACUGCAUCCAUUGACUCCCCAGGAUGUCUGAGGUCACAAGUUUGGCUGGAGCACAUGAGCCCAGAUAAAGAAGAUGGUUUUACCCUCCUGAAACAAAGCCAGAAAUGAUCUCCUUUAUUGUGCACUUUGGGUCAUGUGCUAAUGAUGAGGGUUUCUCUAAUACUAAUCCCCCUAAUGAAGCCUUCUCCCAGCCCUUACACAAGCCCACAAGGCCCCGUGGCUUGGCAAGCCAGAGAGAAUAAAAACAGCCCGGUGUUUGGCUUUUGAACUGAGUUCAAGGCAAUUAAAGUCAAGAGCUAAGGAGGGAGGGAGAGGGUUUAGAAAUACCAGCAUAAUAAGUAGUAUGACUGGGUCCUCUGUAAAUUAACUCAAUUAGACAAAGCCUGAUUUAACGGGGGAAGAUGAAGAGAAGCGCUACCCUCAUUAAAUUUGGUUGUUAGAGGCGCUUCUAAGGAAAUUAAAUCUGUUAGUUGUUUGAAUCACAUAAAAUAGUGUGUGCAUAUUCAUGUACACACGUGCACACAUGUAACCUCUGUGAUUCUUGUGGUUAUAUUUUUAAGAAGAGAGGAAUAGAAUGCAAAGAAAAAUAAAAUAUACUGAAAAGAAAAAAGACUGAAAGAGUGGAAGGUAAGGAGAAAAGUGGGAUAGAGACAAGGAAAGUAAGAGAGAGAGAGACAGCUCUCCCAAUUAUAAAACCAUGAGCCCCCUUUGGUGGGGGCUUCUGCUCAGUUGCUUGGACUGUAAAAUCCUGCCAGGAGCCCAGGCUCAGUUCCCCCGAGUCUGCAUGACGGUGGACAGCCUGGUGAACAAGGAGUGCUGCCCACGCCUGGGUGCAGAGUUGGCUGAUGUCUGUGGCUCUCAGCAAGGCCGGGGACAGUGCACAGAGGUGCGAGCCGACACAAGGCCCUGGAGUGGUCCCUACAUCCUACGAAACCAGGAUGACCGUGAGCAGUGGCCAAGAAAAUUCUUCCACCGGACCUGCAAGUGCACAGGAAACUUUGCCGGCUAUAAUUGUGGAGACUGCAAGUUCGGCUGGACCGGCCCCAACUGCGAUCGGAAGAAACCGCCAGUGAUUCGGCAGAACAUCCAUUCCUUGAGUCCUCAGGAGAGAGAGCAGUUCUUGGGCGCCUUAGAUCUCGCGAAGAAGAGCGUACACCCCGACUACGUGAUCACCACGCAACACUGGCUGGGCCUGCUUGGGCCCGAUGGGACCCAGCCGCAGUUUGCCAACUGCAGUGUUUAUGAUUUUUUUGUGUGGCUGCAUUAUUAUUCUGUUAGAGAUACAUUAUUAGGACCAGGACGCCCCUACAAGGCCAUAGAUUUCUCACAUCAAGGACCUGCUUUUGUUACCUGGCACAGGUACCAUUUGUUGUGUCUGGAAAGAGAUCUCCAGCGACUCAUUGGCAAUGAGUCUUUUGCUUUGCCCUACUGGAACUUUGCCACUGGGAGGAACGAGUGUGAUGUGUGUACAGACCAGCUGUUUGGAGCAGCGAGACCAGACGAUCCGACUCUGAUUAGUCAGAACUCAAGAUUCUCCAGCUGGGAAACUGUCUGUGAUAGCUUGGAUGACUACAACCACCGGGUCACCUUGUGCAAUGGAACCUAUGAAGGUUUGCUGAGAAGAAAUCAAAUGGGAAGAAAUAGUGUGAAAUUGCCAACCUUCAAAAACAUACGAGAUUGCCUGUCUCUCCGGAAGUUUGACAAUCCUCCCUUCUUCCAGAACUCUACCUUCAGUUUCAGGAAUGCCUUGGAAGGGUUUGAUAAAGCCGAUGGGACUCUGGAUUCUCAAGUGAUGAGCCUUCAUAAUUUGGUUCAUUCCUUCUUGAACGGGACAAAUGCUUUGCCACAUUCAGCUGCCAAUGAUCCCAUUUUUGUGGUUCUUCAUUCCUUUACUGACGCCAUCUUUGAUGAGUGGAUGAAAAGAUUUAAUCCUCCUGCAGAUGCCUGGCCUCAGGAGCUGGCCCCUAUUGGUCACAAUCGGAUGUACAACAUGGUUCCUUUCUUCCCUCCAGUGACGAAUGAAGAACUCUUUUUAACCGCAGACCAGCUUGGCUACAGCUAUGCCAUUGAUCUGCCAGUUUCAGUUGAAGAAACUCCAGGUUGGCCCACAACCCUCUCAGUGGUCAUGGGAACACUGGUGGCUUUGGUUGGUCUUUUUGUGCUGCUGGCCUUUCUUCAAUAUAGAAGACUUCGAAAAGGAUAUACACCCCUAAUGGAGACACAUUUAAGCAGCAAGAGAUACACAGAAGAAGCCUAGCGUGCUCAUGGCUUACCUAAGAGAAGAGGCUGGCCAACCCAUAGUUCUGACCCUGACAGUAAAGGAACUAAUCCUCACUGUUCCUUCUCGAGUUGAAGAUCUUUGCCAUAGGUUCUUCUACAGUGAUGAUGAUCUCAUUCAGAAGAUGCUUAGCUGUAGUUUCCACUUUGCUUGCUUGUUUAACAAACCCAAACUAACGUGCUUGAGGCUACCUCUAUCUUCAAAUAAAGGUAGGAAAAGGAGAGCCAGCCUUUCCCCAGGUGAAGUUACUUUUGAUAUCCCCACAGUCCGGUGACUAAUCCUGGGGUGGAAGCAGGCGGCUACUUCAAGUGACCGACCAGGGAGGAGAGGUCCUGCAGCAGCUGACUUGGUGAUCCCCCAGACCCUUGGCCGUGGUGUGUCAGCCAUGAAUGUGAAACUGAAAGCCAAAUAAUGGAAAGGCACUUUUGCUGAGGGUUCUGAGAAAUGAAGCCCAAAGACCAGGUCUCAUCCUUGAGUCACAUGAUAUGAAGAUAUGAGGGCUGGAAAUGUAGCAGCCGUCUUACCUGCUAGAGAGCUUAUAGCAGACAAUACAAGUGUACACAUUUGUGCCCAACUGAUCUUUAAAGAAUACCUUGAGGAAUAGGUAAUCUUGCAAAAGCAAGCCUGGAGUAUCCUUUGAAGGGCUGAGUGUUUUAAUCAAAGGGUAAGUUCCUUUCUUCCGGUUAGCUGUCAAUCUAAGAGGUACCUUUUUAUAUGUCGGGUAUCAGUAGGUGGCAGUUUUUAUGUCACACUUUGUUCUCUUUGGAACACAUCCUCUCAGAUGUUAAGUGGAACAGCACAAAGAUCUCAUAAAUCCAGUGUAGGAAUCAGUUGGAAAGUAUUGCAUGUAGUUUAUUAGGAGUAAUAACUGAAUUAGUAAAAUAUGUGAAUGAUUUCUGUAAGUUGGAGUGGAUUCAUUAUGAGUUUUAUGGUAAUUUCAUACCCAUCACUUCCUUGCAUUCUGGUAUGCUCAUUUGAGUGGGAAAGAAAGGGGAGGGGUUACAUUUAGUGCGAUUAAAUGUAAAGAAAUUAUUGGUACUACUUGAUGUGAAUAUCAUACGUCCUGUGGUAUGGAUGGCCAAUCCAGAAACAGGGCUCAAGAAAUUGAUCCUAGAUGUGAGUCAAAACCAAACGAAAAUGUUAGCAGAGCAUUUUCAACUUAUCAACAACUUAGAACAAUUUAGCUGAAGCUGUUGUGGGACUGCUAAGAUUGGCAGGUAAGGAAAACAAGCCUCAAAUUACAACCCUCUAGCAGCAGCAAAUGGAACCAAAAUACAACUUCUGGGGUGGCACCCAUUUUCAGUGGUUUUGUUCACUGACAUAUCCAGCAAAAUUACUGAACAGCAGAAGGGGUCAACCACCUGGGAUCAAGUUUCAAGUGUGGCUCACUUUGAGAUGAAAGCAUGCUGGCGUUUAGAGCUGGGCACUUGUGAACUGGGGUUAUCUAGCGUGCUUGGCAAUGUCUAAGUUGUUUUUGGAUUCCUGAUUCUGAUUCCAGAUGUUUUUCAAUAUAACAAGUAGGCAGGGAGAUUUAAAUAGGAAAGUCACUGGUGAAUAACAUUACCUGUUACUUUCUUCAGCUGGGUGGGAGGUUUGAAAAAUUAUUAGGUGUCAUAUACAUUAGAGUGUAAAUUGAUCAUGUGAAUAGCCAUUAUUUAUACCUACAGUGACCAUAUAAUUUAUCAUUGAAGUCAAGGACACCAUGGAGAGGGAAAGGGGUGCUGUUAAUAAUAACACUGGGACAGCAGACAUAAUGGGGACUGUCUGAGACAAUUUGGGACAUAUAGACUUUUUUUUAACAUAUGGUGAGUGAAGAGUAUUCGUUCAACACACCAGAGUUCCUAUGUGAUUUCUUUUUACGUUUUUCAUUAAGUACCAUUAUUAUAUAUUAUCUGUAGAGAACCUUCCCUUUCUAUGACAGGAGACUUUUACAGUAGAGGUUCAGAAAUGGUCAAAUGAAUAUAUAGGAAACUUAUCACAUGUGUCAGUAGUACUGGAUUUUGGUUUUUCCCUCUUUUUAAAUUUUGCUUCCCCCCGUGCCAUUCCACGGCACUCCCUCCUUGUUCAUGAGGUACAAACAGGGGAAAGAUCAAAGGCUUGUGCCAGAGGAAGGAAGAUUUCAGAUGUGGGGGAAAUCUCUGUUCUUCUUUCCUAGAGAAAGGCCUUUUGCUUGCCGAUUUCUCCUGGCUCGUGCUCUCUGUCCAAUAAUGCAUUACUCAAUGUAAGGCUUUUCCUUUUCCAUUAAAUAAAACCCUUAAGUUCAAACACAAGCCCAGUCAUAGAACCUAGGCUUACCUUUGGCUGUAUAAAAAUAGCCUUCAUGCACUAAUUCAUAUGCAAUAGUUCAAACAAACAAAAACCAAUACAAUCAUUCCUGUGUCACUAACAAGAUUUUCAUAAAACUGAGUGAAAUUUCUUGGACUUAAUAUAAUUUUGGGACUUCUAGUUUCUUUCACACACGGAAACUCAGUAUAUAAUAGCUCACAGUAUAUGAUUCAGAAGCGGAGAUGAAUCAGAAGACUGUUGGGGUAUCAUUCUACCAGGCUCAGCUUGAGAACUGGGGCCUGGGUCCCUGCAGCUGAACUAUGGGCUGGUUCCAUAACCUAGUAAGAGGUUGGUAGGAACAAGAAUGAUUUACAUUCAAGUCCUUACAGUUUGGGUGGGCUGGGAGUAAGGGAGAGAAGAAGAAGAAAGGGAGAGAAUAAACAAAAACAAGAUGAGAAGAUCUUGGCUCCACUGUGUAGCUUCUCUGAUCUGUACCAUAGGGACAGUAGCUCCUGCCCACUUCGUGGAGAUGUAGUGAAGAUUAUGAAAGAAAAUGAAUUUGAAAGUUCCCUUCAGGAUGAAAUGCUUUAUGCAAAUAUAAGGCAUGUUUUAUCACUAAACAGAAAUAAACAGAGCUUUGUAACAAACCUUUCCCUAACGUGAUCGUCACCUUUAUGAAAUGUCUAGCGCAGGGGUCCUCAACCCACUGGCCACAGACUGGUACUAGUCCGUGGCCUGUUAGGAACCAGGCCACACAGCAGGAGGUGAGUGGCAGGCGAGUGAGCAUUAUCACCUGAGCUCCGCCUUCUGUCAGGUCAGCGGUGGCAUUAGAUUCUCACAGGAGCACAAACCCUAUUGUGAACUGCACAAGUGAGGGAUUUAGGUUGCACACACCUUAUGAGAAUGUAAUGCCUGAUGCUCUGUCGCUGUCUCCCAUCAC